rnacentral:rRNA from 2 species
UUAAGCGACUAAGCGUACACGGUGGAUGCCCUGGCAGUCAGAGGCGAUGAAGGACGUGCUAAUCUGCGAUAAGCGUCGGUGAGGUGAUAUGAACCGUUAUAACCGGCGAUUUCCGAAUGGGGAAACCCAGUGUGUUUCGACACACUAUCAUUAACUGAAUCCAUAGGUUAAUGAGGCGAACCGGGGGAACUGAAACAUCUAAGUACCCCGAGGAAAAGAAAUCAACCGAGAUUCCCCCAGUAGCGGCGAGCGAACGGGGAGGAGCCCAGAGCCUGAAUCAGUGUGUGUGUUAGUGGAAGCGUCUGGAAAGGCGUGCGAUACAGGGUGACAGCCCCGUACACAAAAAUGCACAUAUUGUGAGCUCGAUGAGUAGGGCGGGACACGUGGUAUCCUGUCUGAAUAUGGGGGGACCAUCCUCCAAGGCUAAAUACUCCUGACUGACCGAUAGUGAACCAGUACCGUGAGGGAAAGGCGAAAAGAACCCCGGCGAGGGGAGUGAAAAAGAACCUGAAACCGUGUACGUACAAGCAGUGGGAGCCUCUUAAUGGGGUGACUGCGUACCUUUUGUAUAAUGGGUCAGCGACUUAUAUUCUGUAGCAAGGUUAACCGAAUAGGGGAGCCGAAGGGAAACCGAGUCUUAACUGGGCGUUAAGUUGCAGGGUAUAGACCCGAAACCCGGUGAUCUAGCCAUGGGCAGGUUGAAGGUUGGGUAACACUAACUGGAGGACCGAACCGACUAAUGUUGAAAAAUUAGCGGAUGACUUGUGGCUGGGGGUGAAAGGCCAAUCAAACCGGGAGAUAGCUGGUUCUCCCCGAAAGCUAUUUAGGUAGCGCCUCGUGAAUUUAUCUCCGGGGGUAGAGCACUGUUUCGGCAAGGGGGUCAUCCCGACUUACCAACCCGAUGCAAACUGCGAAUACCGGAGAAUGUUAUCACGGGAGACACACGGCGGGUGCUAACGUCCGUCGUGAAGAGGGAAACAACCCAGACCGCCAGCUAAGGUCCCAAAGUCAUGGUUAAGUGGGAAACGAUGUGGGAAGGCCCAGACAGCCAGGAUGUUGGCUUAGAAGCAGCCAUCAUUUAAAGAAAGCGUAAUAGCUCACUGGUCGAGUCGGCCUGCGCGGAAGAUGUAACGGGGCUAAACCAUGCACCGAAGCUGCGGCAGCGACACUAUGUGUUGUUGGGUAGGGGAGCGUUCUGUAAGCCUGUGAAGGUGGCCUGUGAGGGUUGCUGGAGGUAUCAGAAGUGCGAAUGCUGACAUAAGUAACGAUAAAGCGGGUGAAAAGCCCGCUCGCCGGAAGACCAAGGGUUCCUGUCCAACGUUAAUCGGGGCAGGGUGAGUCGACCCCUAAGGCGAGGCCGAAAGGCGUAGUCGAUGGGAAACAGGUUAAUAUUCCUGUACUUGGUGUUACUGCGAAGGGGGGACGGAGAAGGCUAUGUUGGCCGGGCGACGGUUGUCCCGGUUUAAGCGUGUAGGCUGGUUUUCCAGGCAAAUCCGGAAAACCAAGGCUGAGGCGUGAUGACGAGGCACUACGGUGCUGAAGUGACAAAUGCCCUGCUUCCAGGAAAAGCCUCUAAGCAUCAGGUAACAUCAAAUCGUACCCAAAACCGACACAGGUGGUCAGGUAGAGAAUACCAAGGCGCUUGAGAGAACUCGGGUGAAGGAACUAGGCAAAAUGGUGCCGUAACUUCGGGAGAAGGCACGCUGAUAUGUAGGUGAAGCGACUCGCUCGUGGAGCUGAAAUCAGUCGAAGAUACCAGCUGGCUGCAACUGUUUAUUAAAAACACAGCACUGUGCAAACACGAAAGUGGACGUAUACGGUGUGACGCCUGCCCGGUGCCGGAAGGUUAAUUGAUGGGGUUAGCGGUAACGCGAAGCUCUUGAUCGAAGCCCCGGUAAACGGCGGCCGUAACUAUAACGGUCCUAAGGUAGCGAAAUUCCUUGUCGGGUAAGUUCCGACCUGCACGAAUGGCGUAAUGAUGGCCAGGCUGUCUCCACCCGAGACUCAGUGAAAUUGAACUCGCUGUGAAGAUGCAGUGUACCCGCGGCAAGACGGAAAGACCCCGUGAACCUUUACUAUAGCUUGACACUGAACAUUGAGCCUUGAUGUGUAGGAUAGGUGGGAGGCUUUGAAGUGUGGACGCCAGUCUGCAUGGAGCCGACCUUGAAAUACCACCCUUUAAUGUUUGAUGUUCUAACGUUGGCCCGUAAUCCGGGUUGCGGACAGUGUCUGGUGGGUAGUUUGACUGGGGCGGUCUCCUCCUAAAGAGUAACGGAGGAGCACGAAGGUUGGCUAAUCCUGGUCGGACAUCAGGAGGUUAGUGCAAUGGCAUAAGCCAGCUUGACUGCGAGCGUGACGGCGCGAGCAGGUGCGAAAGCAGGUCAUAGUGAUCCGGUGGUUCUGAAUGGAAGGGCCAUCGCUCAACGGAUAAAAGGUACUCCGGGGAUAACAGGCUGAUACCGCCCAAGAGUUCAUAUCGACGGCGGUGUUUGGCACCUCGAUGUCGGCUCAUCACAUCCUGGGGCUGAAGUAGGUCCCAAGGGUAUGGCUGUUCGCCAUUUAAAGUGGUACGCGAGCUGGGUUUAGAACGUCGUGAGACAGUUCGGUCCCUAUCUGCCGUGGGCGCUGGAGAACUGAGGGGGGCUGCUCCUAGUACGAGAGGACCGGAGUGGACGCAUCACUGGUGUUCGGGUUGUCAUGCCAAUGGCACUGCCCGGUAGCUAAAUGCGGAAGAGAUAAGUGCUGAAAGCAUCUAAGCACGAAACUUGCCCCGAGAUGAGUUCUCCCUGACUCCUUGAGAGUCCUGAAGGAACGUUGAAGACGACGACGUUGAUAGGCCGGGUGUGUAAGCGCAGCGAUGCGUUGAGCUAACCGGUACUAAUGAACCGUGAGGCUUAACCUU